rnacentral:rRNA from 1 species
AGUUUGAUCCUGGCUCAGAAUCAACGCUGGCGGCGUGCCUAACACAUGCAAGUCGAACGAGAAAGUGGAGCAAUCCAUGAGUAAAGUGGCGACCGGGUGAGUAACACGUGACUAACCUACCCUCGAGUGUGGAAUAACAUCGGGAAACCGAUGCUAAUACCGCAUGACAUCGCAAGAUCAAAGGAGCAAUCCGCUUGAGGAGGGGGUCGCGGCUGAUUAGCUAGUUGGCGGGGUAACGGCCCACCAAGGCGAAGAUCGGUAGCCGGCCUGAGAGGGCGCACGGCCACACUGGAACUGAAACACGGUCCAGACUCCUACGGGAGGCAGCAGUGGGGAAUUUUGCGCAAUGGGGGAAACCCUGACGCAGCAACGCCGCGUGGAGGAUGAAGCCCCUUGGGGCGUAAACUCCUUUCGACCAAGACGAUAAUGACGGUACUGGUGGAAGAAGC